UACGAAGGGGGCGAGCGUUGUUCGGAUUUACUGGGCGUAAAGGGCGCGCAGGCGGCCAUUCAAGUCAGGCGUGAAAGCCCCGGGCUUAACCUGGGAGGUGCGCUUGGGACUGGGUGGCUAGAGAUCGGGAGAGGGAGAGUGGAAUUCCCAGUGUAGAGGUGAAAUUCGUAGAUAUUGGGAAGAACACCGGUGGCGAAGGCGGCUCUCUGGACCGAUACUGACGCUG
rnacentral:rRNA from 1 species